AUGCAAACACUAGGCAGCAAGCCAUCUUGCUCAGCAGCUUUGUUCUACCUCUACUGCCUACUGUUAGUGUCAAGCCUUCAUCUCUUGGAAGAAGCACAUGCAGCACGGCAUGGAGGGAUCUCGCUGAGGUCUCAGCACAUGGCCCUCCUCCACUGGAAAGCUACACUUGUGAGUCCACCGCUGCAGAUGAGUUCCUGGCAGGAAAACACCAGCCCGUGCAACUGGACGGGCAUCAUGUGCACGGCUAUUCGCCAUGGUCGUCGCAUGCCCUGGGUGGUGACCAGCAUCUCCCUGCCGGAUGCUGCCAUCCGUGGCCAGCUCGGUGAGCUCAACUUCUCGGCACUUCCAUUCCUUACAAAUAUCGACCUUCAUAACAACAGUCUCCAUGGUACACUGCCCGCUAAUAUCAGCUCUCUGUCAGCACUUUCUGAUCUUAACCUUAAGCAGAACCAGCUCACAGGGGAAAUUCCUUAUGAGAUUGGUGGCCUGCAAAGUCUCAGGCAGCUUUCUCUCUCAUUUAACAACCUCACAGGAAAUAUCCCUGCAUCUCUGGGCAACCUAACAAUGUUAACUUUUCUUGCCAUUCACCAAACCAUGGUAUCAGGUCCAAUUCCAGAGGAGAUUGGACGGCUUGUAAACCUACAAAAUCUACAGCUAAGCAACAGCACCUUAAGCGGCAUCAUACCAAAAACCCUUGGAAAUCUGACCCAGCUAAUUGGUUUGUACCUGUUUGGUAAUCAACUCUCAGGGCCUAUACCCCAAGAACUAGGACGGCUAGUCCAUCUGCAAAUUCUUGAGCUUGAUUCAAAUUAUUUUUCAGGUCCAAUUCCAAUCUCUAUAACUAAUCUCACUAAGAUUAACGCAAUUUUUCUCUUUGAAAAUCAAAUCACGGGUCCAAUACCUUCAGAGUUGGGCAACUUGCUAAAUCUCCAGUCUUUAGUCUUAUUCGACAACCAAAUAUCUGGCUCUAUUCCUGACAGCCUAGGAAAUAUAACCAAGCUAGUAGUACUACACCUCUAUGAAAAUCAGAUAAGUGGUUCCAUCCCCCAGCAAAUUGGCAAUCUGAUAAACCUCAAAUCCUUAGCCUUGCACCAGAACCAAAUUUCCGGAUCAAUACCAAAAACUUUUGGGAAGUUGCAAAGCGUCCGAACACUGCAAAUGUAUGAUAACAAAUUAUCAGGUUCUCUUCCUCACGAAUUCGGAGAUCUCAUAAGCCUUGACAAUCUUGGGUUAGCUAACAACUCACUCUUAGGACCUUUACCCGCAAAUAUAUGUUCAGGUGGCAGACUUCAAAUUCUCACUGUCCAAUCUAAUAUGUUCACUGGCCCCAUUCCAAGAAGUUUAAAGACAUGUACUAGUCUGCUUAAAAUUAACAUUGAAAAGAACCAACUAACAGGAGAUAUAACUAGGCAUUUUGGUGUGUAUCCACAACUCACACUGAUGCGCUUGGCAUCAAAUAGACUCACCGGGCAGAUCUCACCAAAUCUAGGUGCAUGUACCCAGCUAACUGCCCUAACUCUAAGCAAAAAUAUGAUCACGGGUUCCAUACCUCCAAUCCUUUCUAAAUUGUCUAACCUAGGAGUACUAAAACUUGAUUAUAAUCAUCUCAACGGUAAAAUUCCACAAGAAUUAUACACUUUAACUAAUCUGUACAUGCUGAACUUAUCAUCGAACCACUUAUCUGGAUCCCUACCUACACAGAUAGAAAAACUAAGCAAUCUAGGAUAUUUAGAUAUUUCUGGGAAUAGACUGGGUGGAUUAAUACCUGAGGAACUAGGGGCCUGCAUACACCUACAAUCCUUGAAGAUCAACAACAACUUUUUCACUGGGAGUUUGCCUGGUACGAUUGGAAAGUUAGCGGGUCUGCAGAUCAUGUUAGAUGUGAGCAACAAUAACCUCAGUGGCAUAUUGCCGCAGCAACUUGGGAAGUUGGGAAUGCUAGAAUUUCUGAAUUUAUCCCAUAAUCAGUUCAGUGGCAGCAUUCCAUCCUCCUUUGCAAGCAUGUUGAGCCUUUCAACACUCGAUGUGUCCUACAAUGCCUUGGAAGGACCAAUCCCAAUAACACGACUACUCCAAAAUGCUUCAGCAAGUUGGUUUCUUCCCAACAAAGGUCUGUGUGGUAAUCUCUCUGGCCUGCCACCUUGUUAUUCAACUCCAGUAGAUGGUCACCAUAAACGAAAGACAUUAAAUGUGCUUUUUCCAAUUGUUCUUGUGGUGGGUUUCGGCAUUAUUGGUGCAAUUGUUGUCGUAAUAAUGCUUAGCCGAAACAAGAAUAAACCUGAAGAAAGUGUUACUCCUGAAGCAAGGGAACUAUUCUCUGUUUGGAAUUUUGAUGGAAGAUUAGCAUUUGACGAUAUUGUAAGGGCAACAGAAGACUUCGAUGAUAAGUACAUCAUUGGAACAGGAGGAUACGGCAAAGUCUAUAAGGCAGAGCUUCAAGACGGGCAGCUAGUUGCUGUGAAGAAGCUUCAUCAAACUGAAGAAGAGUUGGAUGAUGAAAGAAGAUUUCGUAGUGAAAUGGAAAUCUUAACACAGAUCCGACAACGAUGCAUUGUCAAAAUGUAUGCAUUCUGCUCCCAUCCAGCGUAUAAAUUUCUAGUCUAUGACUACAUUCAGCAGGGAAGCCUACGCAGGAUAUUGGAAGAUGAGGAGCUAGCAAAGGAAUUGGAUUGGCACAAGAGAAUUUCUCUUGCAAAUGAUGUGGCUCAAGCAAUAUCUUAUUUGCACCAUGAAUGCAGUCCACCUAUAAUCCAUCGAGAUAUCACGAGCAGCAACAUCUUACUUGAUACAACCUUCAAGGCUUUUGUCUCGGAUUUCGGCACAGCAAGGAUUCUUAAGCCCGAUUCAUCAAACUGGAGUGCACUAGCAGGAACAUAUGGCUACAUAGCUCCUGAGCUAUCAUACACAUCUGUUGUGACGGAGAAAUGUGACAUCUAUAGCUUUGGCGUGGUUGUGCUAGAGCUAGUCAUGGGGAAGCAUCCAAGGGAUCUAUUAGACGGUAGUUUACCAAGCAAGGAACAAGCUAUACUGGUAAAUGAUAUUCUGGACCAACGGCCGACAACACCAACCAUGUGGGAGGCAUACCACACACUCAUCCAGCGACCCUCUUCUAAUCCAUAUCCCGUGCCUUUCAGCGCACUUGCAUUAUGGCAAGUAAUGAAUGCAUGCUGA
rnacentral:rRNA from 1 species